UACGUAGGGGGCAAGCGUUGUCCGGAAUUAUUGGGCGUAAAGCGCGCGUAGGCGGCCACUUAAGUCGGAUGUGAAAGCCCCUGGCUCAACUGGGGAAGUGCACCCGAAACUGAGCGGCUUGAAUGCAAAAGAGGGUCGCGGAAUUCCCGGUGUAGAGGUGAAAAUUCGUAGAUAUCGGGAGGAACACCGGUGGCGAAGGCGGCGACCUGGGUUGACAUUGACGCUGAGGCGCGAAAGCGUGGGGAGCAAACGGG
rnacentral:rRNA from 1 species